ensembl:snRNA LOC120103194 U6 spliceosomal RNA
GUGCUCGCUCUGGCAGCACAUAUAUUAAAAUUGGAACGAUACAGAGAAGAUUAGCAUGACUUCUGUGCAAGGAUGACAUGUAAAUUCAUGAACAUUCCAUAUUUAA